rnacentral:rRNA from 1 species
AUUGAACGCUGGCGGCAGGCCUAACACAUGCAAGUCGAGCGGAUGAAGGGAGCUUGCUCCUGGAUUCAGCGGCGGACGGGUGAGUAAUGCCUAGGAAUCUGCCUGGUAGUGGGGGAUAACGUCCGGAAACGGGCGCUAAUACCGCAUACGUCCUGAGGGAGAAAGUGGGGGAUCUUCGGACCUCACGCUAUCAGAUGAGCCUAGGUCGGAUUAGCUAGUUGGUGGGGUAAAGGCCUACCAAGGCGACGAUCCGUAACUGGUCUGAGAGGAUGAUCAGUAACACUGGACCUGAGACACGGUCCAGACUCCUACGGGAGGCAGCAGUGGGGAAUAUUGGACAAUGGGCGAAAGCCUGAUCCAGCCAUGCCGCGUGGGUGAAGAAGGUCUUCGGAUUGUAAAGCACUUUAAGUUGGGAGGAAGGGCAGUAAGUUAAUACCUUGCUGUUUGGACGUUACCAACAGAAUAAGCACCGGCGACCUUCGU